rnacentral:lncRNA from 1 species
GAAUAAACUUUCUAUUCUCCAAUCUAAUCCUACCUACUAUCUUGAAUGUCUAGUUCGUAAACCUGCAUAACAAUAGAGGGAUGAGCUUCAAUAGCUCAGUAAGGACAUAACCUUAUCACAGUAAAUUGACAAUAUUAAAUUAAGUGUCAUGAAAUCAUAAAGCCAAAUAUCAAAUCAUAAAUGAUUACAAUGCAUGUAUGCAAUCCAACCUCUUCAGCUACACCCGUUAAUUUAUAUAAUAAAACACGCGGACCUGCACACGUCCCAUACCAUCCAUUUUAUCACUGCAAUGGUGGUUCGAAUAUAAUAUUAUACAAACUAACCCCCAUAACACAUCCUAAGUUAAUAAACCCUUUUUGUUAGUCAUCUUAUCUAAUUCAUUGAUCUCCAGCCCAAAUCACCCACAUCAACAAUUAUCCUGCCAAUAUCAUAUUCUAAUGUGCACAUCGGGCUCGCACUGGAACUAGUUUCACAAUGAAUAGAUUCAACUACACAAAAGAUCCUUUCCAACCACUCUCAUUUCUCGAAUUAAAAUCUCAACACGGAAGUUCCAACCAUAUCUCACAACAUGAGUGAUGCACAAAUAAUGUCAUUUCAUCUUUUGCAUGUAUCACAGUAUUUCUCAAUGAAUAGCAUUCUAGCAAUAAUUCCAUAGCCAAUAGCAAGUAAACACUUAACAGAAGCAAUUAGCCAAUUAAUAUCCAAUCAUAUUAAUCAACCAAAAAGAUCAAGAAUAUUUUAUCACUUCACGAAAUUUAAUAAAAUCAAUUUCUGUAAAGGUCUACCUUAUUUCCCCUACCUGGAUUCCAAAGCUAAAACGAAGAUCCACAUCACUACCGCAAUAGCUAGACUCCACGUACUUGAGUAAGUUCCCUGAUCACUCAUGAAUCAUUAUGUAUUUCUUCCACCCUAUUUCUUUUCUAAUCCCUCUUCACAUAAACAUCUAUCUAUCUAUAUAUACAUAAUAUACAUGAAUCGCAUGCACAAGCAUGCAACAUUUUUGCAUCAUCCAAAAGAAUGGAGCGGGAAAGCUCCUAUUUAUACGAGUGUGAGGCGACCAUCAAUGACCUCUAAUUGGUUGGUUUGGCAGCCAUACAAUGGUGGCAUGCAAGGUGUCAACCAAAUAAGGAAGCAAUGACACGAGGCAACCACCCAAGGCUAAUUGAAGCCACGUCCAAGUUAUAGCUUCUAUUAGUCAACAGCUAGAGUGCUUAUUAGGCACUUUUAGUACAAU